CUCCUCUUUUGCUUCUCACAGUUUACACUUUCCUGACCUGACAAUAUCUUGUUUUCUUCUUCUAAUUUACUACUGUUUUCCUGUAUGUUAAAUGUACAGAUAGUUGUUUUUUCAUAUUUUUUCCAAUUGAAAAUUUAAAAGGACUUUGAGAUCAUAGAAAGGUUCCUUAAAAGGGGAAAUGAGCAAUUUGAGAAGGAAUCACUGAAGCUCUAUGUUGCAGGUGUUGGUGUUGUAGCAGUAGAGGUUGAACCUUCCUGCCAGGAUUCCACUACAUUUUGUUGUCAUGUGACAGACGGCAGCAGAGGAGCAGUCUGACAUAAUGCUGUCUGACAUGGACGUGAGUAUGAAGCAAAGGUGUGGAACUGAAUUCCUCCAUGCAGAAAAAAUGGCACCCAUUGGCAUUCAUCGAUGCUUGCUGAAUGUUUCUGGAGACCAAUCAGUGGAUGUGAGCACAGUGAGUUGGUCAGUGGCACAUUUCAGCAAUGGUGACAGCAACAUGAAGGACAAGCCAUGUUCCAGACAGCCAUGCGGAUUUUUAUGAAUGUGGCAUACAGCUUCUUGUUCAUUGCUGGUGAAAAAGCAUAGCUAAUGGUAGUUACUGUGUUGAAAAAUAUUACUCAUUUUAGCUGAGAAUUUGCUUUCUCAAAUAGUGUCAUUGUACUCUUUGUAUCUGUUGCAGUUUCCAUGCAAAUAAAUGGGAGGCAUUACUUUCCAAGUGACAUACGUAUAUCCCCAAGCCUCCUAUCUUAGGUACUGAAGAGGUACCUCUACCUAUAGUGGUGUACCAGAGUCUUUUUUUUUUUUUUUUUCUUUUUUUUUCCCCUUCAUUGCUACUGGUUACUGAGAGAAGAAAGUUAGAAAGUUUUUUUUUUUUUUUUUUUUUGUCUUGGACAAAAUGAGCGAAUUUUCCCUUAAUCUGUGAAAAUCGUCACAAGUAUUUCAAUUCAUGUCCAAUACAGUUAUCUAUAGGGCUAGAAAAAGUAUGCCAUACAAAAACAAACCAAAUUCAAAGUAAGAUCAUUUAUCUUCCAUCACAGAGACUUCUGAAGUUCUGUUUUGCAAUGCUUCUCCUCAAAGGUUAGAUGGAUAUAUUUACAAUACUGCUUUUAAAAAUAGCAAAACUAGUCUUUCUAUGAAUUUCAGCUACAAUACACCACAUGUGUAUUGUGGCCACAUGCUUGGUUUGUUAUUGCUCUCAGUCUACAAAAGGCCUUGAAUAUGUUCUUAGAGACACCUCUCAAAUGUUAAGCAAUUAAACUGUGCUUAUUAUUUCCAUAGUUUGUUGGCAACCUCAAAAGGGACAAUGAAUUCCACCUACCUUACUCUCAUCAGAUCCCACUGACAUCAGAAAGCAAUAAUUAUUCAUUGAUCAUGGCAGAGUGAAACUCCAGCACCAUAGGAGCAUUUCAUCCAACUGUUUUGAAACAAUCUCCCUUCUCCUGCCAAAUGCUUCCUUUUUGCAGCUGCAGACAGAUCAGUUAGAAUAUUGUCAAACCAUGGAAAAAAACUGAGAUAGUUGCAGUGCAUUAGAAAUGUUAAGAUAAAAUCAUUAAGAAUAAAGUGUCUAAUGCAGAACUGAAAGCAAAGUGGCAAAUAUUACAACAAAUUAAUUUUGUUAAGUCCAAAGGAUAUUUAAGAAAACAUGUUACCUUAAUCUGCAUCAUGAAGUUGUAUUGACAAUGUUUUAAUUAUAAACCAGCGUUCCAAUUAUUUUUUCAUGCUAGAAUCCCCCUCUCAGCAUUGUACCUCCCAACACAACUAGUAUUUAAAGAAGAAUCUAGAAAAGGGAAAGCUUUCUUCUCCUUACAAUAGUCUAUUAUUGGGAACAUCUUCCAGUACCUCAGGGUUUCUAGCUAAUGGUUAAUUUCUCUCUGAUGACUUCAAGAAAUGGAAACAGAAGUAAAAUUCUUUGUCCAAAGUAAAUUAGUGACAAUGAAUGCAGUUCAGUAAGACAUUUCUGUGCAUCUUGAAUUCAUAUGAACUUCAUUGGAAAUCUGAAGGUAGAAUUCAUUUUCUAGUUUGAUAACUAAUUGUUGUUAUUAUUAGGACUAUUCUCAACAUUCUCAGUAAAAAAAAAAACAUUUUACAACACUAUGAAGUAUGAUAUUUGUGCUACAAUUGGUAUGCUGUUGUCAGAAAGAAAAACAAAGGUAUACAGAGGAUAACUUGUUCAAGGUCAUACGCUGAGUCUGCAACAUAGACAGGAUUAGAAUUUCAGGUCCUUGAAUCUCUGUACUUCUAACCACUGCCCUCAUAAUUUUAAUAAAUCAUACACUUUAUGUCAUAAAAGAUAUCGAGAAUACUCUUAUAUGUCAUGAAGUGCUAAAACCUAUGACAAAUAAAGCACAACAAAGUAGCACCACGUGAAUACAUAAUAAAUUAUGUCAUUGUGCAGUAUUAAAAAACCUUUAAACUUCUAUGGUUCUCUUAAUACCAUCAGCCAAAUGUAAAAAUAUUGCUGCUCCUUGGCUCUUUCCCUGAAGGAACCACUGGAGCCAUAUAAUCUCCCGGUGAGCCUUAUUCUUAAGUGUAGGAUGACACAAAUGGUCCUUCACGUGUGGGGACCAGGCAAAGAGACUGUGCAGGCCUAAGAGCCUUCAGCUUUGCUCAGCUUGUAAAACUGCAGCCCAGGGUAGGUGGCGUGUUCCUCCUUCAUCUAACACCUGUGGUUGACUUCCUUCAGAGUUCUAAAAGUUGUUUUAUAUACAAGUCCUCUGUAGUUAAAGGGCAGACGUAGUCUUCUAGUGGCUUUUUUGAAUAACCCAUUGAAAAGGCUAUAGGCCUUAAGUAUGUUCAGUGUUGUUAAAAACAUUUUCAUCUAUUCUUCUAAUUACUACAUGCAAUUUAAUGCCUCAUGGUUUUUUACUACUAGGAGUCUGUGACACUUACUACACUUUCAAUUACACCAACAUAAAUCAGGUGUAAUUGCACUAAAAUUAGUGAAUUUUGCUGGUGUAAAAACAGGAGGCAGUAUGUAAUGACUUCAGAGUAUGUUUUAUGUGCAAAUCUUCCUGACAAUAAGUAAAUCUGAAUUUAUAAUAAGAUCUUAUCAUGAAAACAUAUUAUGUUAGGAUUUGAAGACUGUCUGAUGUACUCGCAGUCUUCUGUUUACUGUCUUAUUCACAUCUAAAAUUAUUUUAUUCAUAUGAGAUUUGAGUUAAUGAAAUAAAUAGCUCCAGAAUCAGUACUGGUCUGGAUACUACAUUUUAAAAUCUUUAAAUAAUAUCAAAUAAUUUUCUAGCUUUCCCAGCAGAGAGGAAGCUAAAAAAUAUUUAAAUAAAGUGGAAGAGCUAUCAUAACCUCCCAAACAUUAGGCAAUUUUGGGAUGCAAUCAUAUAGAAUCAUUUUCAACCCAACUAACCAUAAUGAAUGAGCUGCAGUGGUCUCUGAAGUCACAUGCAGCCUAGGAAUACUGGUAUACUCAUGUAAAAUGUCAAGGAAGAGAACUCAAAUAUGUCAACAUAAUUGUUUUUCUCUAAGAGUUUCUUCAUAAUGCUAGUUCAAACUGCAUAAAGACUAUGUGAUGUGUUCAUUGGGGGAGAAAAGGGCUCAGGGCUAUCCAUAGUUUAUCAAACCAUCUCUGUAAACAUCUCUAAAUAUGAGCACUGUUUCAAAUCAAAAAACAUAGCACAAAUAUAUUUGCUACGACAUGACUUCAGACUAUGGUAGAGCAGCAGGAGUAAAAUGAAAAACUUUGCAUAACUCCCUGCAGAGCUCAUUCCAGAGAUGCCCCAUGGUGUUACAAAAGCUUAUCAAAAUUCAGAAGUCAGGAAGCCCUCCCUUGAUCAGUUUUCACCAUACCACCAGAUGUUGCUGAAGCACUGGCAAAAAUAACAGGAUCACAACAUAUAGAGUAAUCUAGCUGUCAAUAAAAGUUCAAACAUCCAUUUAUGCCACUGGAAAAUCAACUGUUCAUAAAAGAAAAACCAGAAAGAAAAUUUAUUAUUGAACAAAGUUGGCUAAACAAGUUUCCUUACUUCACUUGUUACUUCACAGUGUAUCAUUUAUAGUUAAGAAGAGAUGAACAGCAAUAAAAUAUUUACAAUUACAGAUAAAUCAUAUAACGACAGUUAUAUAUCACACUCUUAGAAACUGUAUGUCUUAACUUUUGCUCCCCAGAUAGCAAUACCACUUUAUCUGAUUUUAUAACAGCACAUACAUGAUGGCAAGGAGUGAUGAAUCAGUCAUAUCUUCCAUACUUCAGUGAAAUGACCAUCUCUCUCCAGGGAAGUGAAAUUAUGGUCACACAUCUUUAGUUCAUGUGUCAAUAACAACUACAUUUUAAUGUUUC
ensembl:lncRNA